rnacentral:rRNA from 1 species
AUGGUCCAACUACAGAACUUCUUCUUUUUCAUUACUUCCAUGGUCGUGCCCCGUGGCACGGCAGCACCCGUACUAUUGAAAUGGUUCAUCAGUAGAGAUGUUCCCACUGGUGCCUCUUCUUCCAAUGGUACUAUAAUUCCUAUCCCUGUCCCUUUAUUCCCUUUUUUGGUCUAUCUACAUUUAAGGAAAUUCAUACGCUCCAUGGAUAGAGCAAAAACUGGAGUGUUGGUCAAAGCAAGCCGCCCUAUUCUAUUACCAGACAAAAUGGAGAGAAGCUCAUCCACUAGAAAUGCUUUAUUUCGUUUCGUUCCCGUUCUUCAUUUCCUUAUUAUCGAAUCCAUGGGGGACUUGUCAUAUAUCGGGGUUUUGCUCAAUCCGUUGCUUGUUUGGUUCGAGGUUGAGCUCACCCGC